rnacentral:rRNA from 1 species
GACGAACGCUGGCGGCGUGCCUAAUACAUGCAAGUCGAACGCAGUGGGGACGGGAGAGUAACACGUGGGUAACCUCCCAUCAGAGGGGAUAACACUUGGAUACAGGUGCUAAACCGAUACUGAUGGAUGGACUCGCGGUGCAUUAGCUAGUUGGGGAGGUAACGGCGCACCAAGGCAACGAUGCAUAGCUGACCUGAGAGGGUGACCGGCCACACUGGGACUGAGACACGGCCCAGACUCCUACGGGAGGCAGCAGUAGGGAAUCUUCGGCAAUGGACGAAAGUCUGACCGAGCCACGCCGCGUGUGUGAAGAAGGCUUUCGGAUUGUAAAACUCUGUUGGUAGAGAAGCGGUAUCUAACCAGAAAGCCACGGCUAACUACGUGCCAGCAGCCGCGGUAAUAC